rnacentral:rRNA from 1 species
GCAAGUAUAUAAAGAAACUAUUAGGAAUAUCUAGCUAUAUAUCAAAAAGAGUUUUUUAAAUAGUACAUCGAGGAGACUCGAUGAACUUGAACUUUUGGAAAAAUCCUAUAUAUAAACGAAGUGAAUUGAAAUAUCUUACUAGCUUCAGGAAUAGAAAUCAAACGAGAUUCUAUGAUUAGUGUGAAUGAAAGUAGAAAAGCCUAAAAGUAAAAUGGAUUAAAAUCUGUUUGAAUAAAGGGGAACCUUCCUCUAAGGCUAAAUAUGAUAUAUAAGCGACAGUGAACUAGUACCGAGAGGGAAAGAUUUGAAAUAGUAGUUUUAUAAGCAGCUCAAGUAAAGUUUAAAUAAAAAAUUAGAGCGUACCUUUUGCAUAAUGGGUCAGCAAGUUAAUAUUAGAUGCGAGAAUGCGCGUGACAGGAAAAAAAUCUCUUUUUUUUCCCUGUCUCCCUUUCCUAGAUAAACCGAUUAUUAAAUAAUGAAUUAGUAUCUAAAAUUAGACCCGAAGCCUGGUGAUCUUACCAUGAUCAGGGUUAUAAAAGCCCGAACGGGUUAUCGUUGUAAAGAUAUCCGAAGAAUUGUGGUAAGUUAGUGAAAGACAAUACUGACCAGGAUAGCUGGUUUUCCGCGAAACCUAUAUAAGUAGGUAAUUCAAAUAACAUCAUAGCAGGUACAGAAUUGUGAUCUCAGACAAAUAGUUUUCUUAGAAGACUUUUGUAUAUAUCGGGGGAUCGUGAAGAUUUUAUCGGUGAGAAUUUGCUCUCGGAAGGGCAAUGAUGAAUAUUGAAUAAUCGGACAUAGUACGAUAAGGUUGUAUGUCUAAAGGGAAACAGCCCAGAACAAGAGUUAAAGGUUCCAAAAUUAUUGUUCAGUGAAAUUAAGGAAGUUUUUUUCAUAUACAACCAGGAAAUAGGCUUAGAAGCGGCCAUUUUUUGAAGACCUCGUAACAGAGCACUGGUUCAAUUAAACAGUUAAAAGCACCGAAAAUUUAACGGAUCUAAACAAUAUACCGACACCUUGUCCAUAAGUAUCAAUAAAGUUAGAGAGAGAUCUCUCAUAUUGUAUUUAUGGGGUAGCGGAACGUUGGGCAAAUCUCAGAUGUAAUCUUUUUAAGAUUAUAUACUUCUCCAUAGAGAUGAUUAGAUAACCCAAGUGAGAAUGCUGGCAUGAGUAACGAAAAAGGGAUCAGCCGGAUAUACCGGAUCUCCCUCGCCUAAAGCUUAUGGUAUAUAUAUCAAGUAACGGCCUCUAAGUUUAUUGACCUGCCCUAAAGGACUAAAUGAUGAGAAAAUCUUUUUAUAUAUCUAACAACCCACAAUAACUUUUUUUUUUAAAGUUUAGAGUAGGUGGUGUUCUGGAAAAAGAUAUAUAAUUAUUAACCGUACCUAGAAACUACCACAAGUAAGCUAGUAGAGAAUACGAAGGCGUUUGAGCUAACAAUCAUUAAGGAACUCGGCAAAAUGACACCGUAACUUCGGGAUAAGGUGUGCCAUUCUUCCUGAUUAAUAUCAGGUUAAGAAUAGGAGGCAUAGAAUGGUGUUGUACGACUGUUUAAUUAAAACAAAGCACUUUGCGUAAGAUGAUAAAUCAAAGUAUUGAGUGUGAAUUCUGCCCAAUGUUGGCUGGUUAACGGAUUUUCUUAGCUGACUAAAAUAAGCUAGGUUUUGAAGGAACCCCCAAUCAAUGGCGGCCUUACCGAUGAGGGUCCUAAGGUAGCGGAAUACCUUGGCCGUUAAAUGCGGUCUUGCAUGAAUGAUUUAACGAUACAACAGCUGUCUCAAUGAUUGGCUCAGUGAAAUUGGAAUAACUGUGCAGAUACAGUUUACCUCUAGUUAGACGAGAAGACCCUAUGCAGCUUUACUGUUACUAGUUAUUGGAUAUGAUCAAACAAGUUGUAGUGUAUAAGGUAGUUGAUAAGAUACAAUUGAAACACCUUUACUUAGUUUAUCAUAUCAGUAGAAUACCACGAAAGCUAAACAAAGCUGGGUGUGGGGCAUCCAUAUCCAGCAAAAGAUAAUUACUUAGCCGAACCGGAGGCGGAAGGAAGCGUUUAGUUAGUAGGUAAAAUCUACGCUACUUAUCCAAAAAGGGAGAGGGGUUUGAGGGUUUUUACCAUCAAACCCGGGAAACAGUUGCUAGUAGACGGUUUAUGCGGGGCACAGAUCCCAUAAAAAGUACCUGGGUGUAUCCAAAGUUAAUUUUGUAAAUUUGCAAGUAGUUGCAUGGCAAAACCUUGCGACAGCUAGCAAUUAAACACGUACAGCCUUCCUUCGACCUUAGGUCGAGGGUUGUCGUCCGUGUUUUUUUUAUUUUAGUUUGUUAUAAUUUAUCAUAUGAUAAUUUAUUCAGUUAUAUAUCUAUUAAGUUAGAUUUAUUAUAUUUAUUUUAAGUAAGAUUUUAACUAUAUGGAAAAUAGAUGUAAAUUAAACCUUAAUAAGGAGUUAUCCUUGUAUUGUUUUAACUUGUUUUAUUUUUAUGCAUUUGGUAAGAAUAGAAUGAUUUUUAUAUUUAC